ACGGGGAAUUAGGGUUCGAUUCCGGAGAGGGAGCCUGAGAAACGGCUACCACAUCUAAGGAAGGCAGCAGGCGCGCAAAUUACCCAAUCCUAAUACAGGGAGGUAGUGACAAGAAAUAACAAUACAGAGCCUUACGGUUUUGUAAUUGGAAUGAGUUAAGUAUAAACCCCUUAACAAGUAUCAAUUGGAGGGCAAGUCUGGUGCCAGCAGCCGCGGUAAUUCCAGCUCCAAUAGCGUAUAUAAAAGUUGUUGCAGUUAAAAAGCUCGUAGUUAAUUUUCUGUUAAUUUUUAUAUACAAUACUACGGUAUUUAUAUAAUAUUAACAUAAUUCAUAUUACUUUUUAGUAUAUGAAACUUUACUUUGAGAAAAUUARAGUGCUUAAAGCAGGCUAUUGCCUUGAAUACUCCAGCAUGGAAUAAUAUUAAGGAUUUUUAUUCUUCUUAUUGGUUCUAGAAUAAAAAUAAUGAUUAAUAGGGACAGUUGGGGGCAUUUGUAUUUAACAGUCAGAGGUGAAAUUCUUAGAUUUGUUAAAGACAAACUACUGCGAAAGCAUUUGCCAAGGAUGUUUUCAUUAAUCAAGAACGAAAGUUAGGGGAUCGAAGACGAUCAGAUACCGUCGUAUUCUU
rnacentral:rRNA from 1 species